GGGGAGUCAGGUACAGAUCUGAACCACAGAGCCCCACAGUGUGGCGCCCGGAAGCCAGGAGAACCAUCCAAACGUGUGCUCCUCCCCAGCCCGGGGCUCCCUCUACCGGUGGAUCUGGAACAGGAGUGCCCGGAGGAACACACGUGACCAGCAGACCUGACCUGGCCUCGCCCUACAUCCCCUACCCUGUACUCCGCUCUACUGUAGGAGGAGUCAGGGAACCUCGGGCUGGACUGGAAUAGAGACUGCGAGAGUAAACUGGGAAGAGAGCAUGGGAACCACAAGGCCCAAUCUCACUGCCCCUUUCCCCUUCGUGUUCUCUAGGAACACCCCCUCUUUCCAUGGCUCUGCAGAGAACCACCAGGCCCAGGUGUGUGGAGGGGGCCAGGGCCAGGGCAGGCAUACCCUAUGUCCCCCACCGGCAGCUGGCCAACCUGAGCCAAUAGGCCUCAGCAUUUCCAUCUAUGCUGUGGGCGAGGCAGGGCCCUGGGCAGCAAAGGAGAACCAAGGAGAAGCCCCAGAAAGGGCAGGAAACUCCCUAUCCACCCCAUGCGGAGAAGGGGGGGCUCCAACCCCUGUAAGACCUCCCCUGGGGGCCCUCGAGGUCAGCCCAGGCCACUGCUGUCCCCUCCUCCCUGGAGCGAGGCUAGUUGCUGAGAAUAAGGGAACACCCGCCCCCCCCACACACAGUUGGGGGGGAGUACCAUCCAGAUCUUCCAGGCUUGGGGACCCAGAUGUGCCAAGUGCUGACCUGGCAUGGGCAUUGGAGAGGCAGAGCAGGGCCUGGGGGACCAAAGGUGGGAGCUUUAAUGGAGGCCCGUCCUAUAGGCUGGGUGUUUCAACCAACGGAGGGGUUUCAGAAGGCGAGAAGGUACAGGGACAGCAGAUCCCGCCCCACCCACUCCAAGGGGACCAAGGUAUUUGCAAAUGUAAAUAUCUGGGGGCCACAGGUGCUCCUGAGGUGGGGUGGGAGAAAACAGUUCUCCUGAAGCCUAAUUGUGAGGUCAAAUAGCGGACUUCACGCGCCCUCCGCUCUCCCUUCUAGGCCCUAAGCGUUC
rnacentral:lncRNA from 1 species